rnacentral:rRNA from 1 species
ACUCAAAUGAAUUGACGGGGGCCCGCACAAGCGGUGGAGCAUGUGGUUCAAUUCGACGCAACGCGAAGAACCUUACCUGGGCUCGAACGGCCGGUCAACGACGGUGGAAACACCGUUACUCCGCAAGGGGGUCCGGUCGAGGUGCUGCAUGGCUGUCGUCAGCUCGUGUCGUGAGAUGUUGGGUUAAGUCCCGCAACGAGCGCAACCCUUGUCCUGUGUUGCCAUACCCUAAAAAGUGGAACUCGCAGGAGACCGCCAGCGACAAGCUGGAGGAAGGUGGGGACGACGUCAAGUCAUCAUGGCCUUUAUGUCCAGGGCUACACACGUGCUACAAUGGGCGGUACAAUGGGUCGCCAACCCGCGAGGGGGAGCCAAUCCCAAAAAGCCGUCCUCAGUUCGGAUUGCAGGCUGCAACUCGCCUGCAUGAAGCUGGAAUCGCUAGUAAUGCUAUAUCAGAACGAUAGCGUGAAUACGUUCCCGGGCCUUGUACACACCGCCCGU